UUAUAUUUACCUUUACCCUUAAAUUUUAGGAAGCUACAGAAGUUAAGUCACUUAACUUGCCAUUAUUCCAUUAAGAGCUCUUUGAUUGCUGCAAGGAGAUUUGGGCUGCUAAUCACACAAGAUAGUGCACAGAUCUAGCACUGCCACUUGAUCUCAACCUAUCCAACUCUCUCUUACUCAGCAUGCUUCAAUCAGCUCUAGAUCAAGGGAUCUCUCAUUCAAAUUGGCCUCCAUCAGUCGCUAGAUCUGCUUUUGGCUCUCUAUCGUGGUUCCAAUCUCACACCUAAAUGUUCUUGUGAUGCUUGAUGACCCAUGGAGGAUCUUUGCGCUGUGCCACGAGAAAUUCUGGGAAAACCUGUGAGAAAUUCUGGGACCAAUCACAUGAAUUGUGGGGCUUUGGAGCUUGAAAGAUGGGAGUUAGAGGGCGAGACUCGAUUCAACAAGGGUUUGUUAAAGUAUGAAUCAAAACAAUUUAAGGUAAACUCUUAGAUUAAAU
rnacentral:lncRNA from 1 species